rnacentral:rRNA from 1 species
UACGUAGGGGGCAAGCGUUGUCCGGAAUUAUUGGGCGUAAAGGGCUCGUAGGCGGCCAACUAAGUCGGACGUGAAAUCCCUCGGCUUAACCGGGGAACUGCGUCCGAUACUGGAUGGCUUGAGUUUGGGAGAGGGAUGUGGAAUUCCAGGUGUAGCGGUGAAAUGCGUAGAGAUCGGCAGGAACACCCAGGGGGAAACCAGUGGACUGGCACGGUGCUGACGCUCAGGUGCGAAAGCGUGGGGAGCGAACCGG